GGGAAAAGGGAACCAGAAUGUCUCUUUUCAUUAAUAGUGUCGAGGCAGCAUUCACACUCAGCAGUCAGUCCCUAGAUUUUGGCCGAUCCCCAACACCACCUUCCUACAACCACCACUGAGAAGUCCAACAGCUAAAAUCACAGUAGCAUGGCAUUUCUUCAGUGGUGAAUAUCCUUUGGUAGAGAAGGAGACAAACCAUUGGAUAUGGCAAAAGUGUUAUGCAUCUGCAAACGCAUUAUUGGCAGAAGGCAAACAGCAUUAUGACUGCAAGAUGCAUUCUCUGAUUCUUCAACUUUAGAAACUCAUGAGGUGUUCUGGAUUUGCCAGCAAUGUGCCUACAUGAUCCCAAGCUGCACUGAUAGAAAUGAUACAGGUGCAUGAACUAAAAUCUUAGAUAACUGAAGCUGAGCUACCCUCCUAUUUCAUAUGGAUUUCAGUUGACAAGUGUUUAUGAAGAAUCUUAGGUGGGCUGUGGCAAUUUGUGUUGAAAUCUAAGCAGUUUUGAGAAAAAUGUUCCUGAAUUUUUGAAGAUGCUUCUAUACAAGCUGCAAGCAUAUCCUCACAUUGCAGUGUUGUGAUGUACCUGUUGGACAGUUUUGGAAUCAAGUGAUUCAAAAUUUUGCUUUGCUUGAUUGGCAUUUUUUUACUUCUUGUGAUGUUUGGCGUGAGAGAUGUACUCCCUGUGUCUGUUCAGUUUUUCUGUACUAAAUCAGUCAGAUAUUUCACAUGAAAUAUAAUUCCUCCGUAUGAUUAAAAAAUAAUAAUAAAAAAAAGUAGCAAUACUACUUGUUCUCAAA